rnacentral:misc_RNA from 1 species
UGUUCUAGAUAUAUUUAAAACUUUAUUUGUGAUCAUCGUACGGUUCUCUUAGCCGCUCUCCCAAACUCUCUCGAUAUCGAUUUUCAUUUGCCGGCUACUUUGAAUUCAGAUUGAGCACGAAGAUAUUAGCCCUCUCUCAAUUGUGUUUGCCUCUCUGUGUGCGUUUGCACUUGAUUUCUGAAUACAAUGCAGUAUUUCGCCAGACUGCGAGCGAUACGGACCGGCUACGGAAUCCAAAGCGAAUUGCCGGACCCGGAUAUCGUUACAAAAGGCGCGUAAUAUUUGGUGAAUGGUGGUGACCCUUUGAAGCCACCUGCGUACACCUGCCAAGUGCUCAGCCAGUGCGUCUCCGGUGAAGUGCACUAAAACUAGAAAUCCGUGGGAUUCACUUUAGAAUGUCAGCUCCAGCGGCAGGUGCGGCGUCUGCCGUCCUAGACUUUGACGACAUUCUGGUCGAGAUCGGAGAAUUCGGACGCUUUCAACGGCGGAACUAUCUUCUCAUAUGCCUGCCCGUACUUUUUGCGGCCGCCAACAGCCUGUCGUAUGUUUUCACGGCAGGAUCGCCGACCUAUCGAUGCUACGUGCCCGAGUGCGAUAAGCUGGAUGAUGCGGAAUAUGGAGCCGAUUGGGUGUCGAUUGCCGUGCCCGGCAGCUGGAGCAAACGGGGCCACUUUACGCCGUCCACCUGCGAAAGGUUCGUGUCGAACGAUGGCCACUUUGAGUCUUCAUCGGAUCCUUGGAGUGCGUGGCCCUUGGAUCAGUGCUUUGCUGAGAAUUUUACGACGGAAACGGAGCGGUGCCAUCAGUUUGUGUACGGCAGUUCGGAACGGACCAUUGUGCAGCAGUGGGGACUGCAAUGCCCGGAGAAUCUCUGGAAGCUGGCCUUCGUGGGCACUGUGCACUUUGCUGGUCUGGUUGUGGGAACAGCUCUAUCCGGCUACCUGGCCGAUCGAUAUGGACGCAAGCACAUUUUCCUGUUCUGCAUCGUGUUCAUGGCGCUGACGGGAGUGGCGCAGGCGCUGUCCUGGGACUACAUAAGUUUCCUGUUCUUUGCCUUGCUGAAUGCUGUGGGCACUUCCGGUGUCUACCCGCUGGCCUUCAUCAUUGGGGUGGAAAUGGUAGGGCCGCGGAAACGCGAAAUGUCCUCCAUUGUGCUCAACUACUUCUAUGCCGUGGGCGAGGCGCUCCUGGGCCUGUCCGUUUUCCUGCCCGACUGGCGGCAAUUGCAGCUGGCGCUCUCUGUGCCGCCGCUCAUCUGCGUGGCCUACUUUUGGCUGGUACCGGAGUCCGUCCGGUGGCUCCUCGCUCGUAACCGGCGGGAGCAAGCGGGAGUCAUCAUCCGGCGGGCGGCGAAGGUUAAUAGGCGAGACAUCUCCGUCGAGCUGAUGGCCAGCUUCAAGCAACAGGAGCUUGAUGCAGAAACGAGCCAAGAGGAUGAUGUCGAGGGUGGCCUGCACGUGCAGAAGGAUGACAAGAUCUGGCUGGCCAUCAAGGAGGUGGCGGGCUCUCACGCUUUAAUGGGCAGAUACGCCAUCUUGCUGCUCAUUUGGGCCGUCAAUGCAAUCGUCUACUAUGGACUCUCGCUUAACGCCACCAGUUUGAGUGGCAACAAGUACCUAAACUUCGCCCUGGUUUGCCUCGUAGAGAUACCCGGCUACAGCCUCGCCUGGCUGUUCCUGCGGAGAUUUGGACGACGUGUGGCACUUUCCGGCUCCUUGCUGCUCUGUUCUAUCACAUGUGUGGCCAGCGGAUUCGUUACACUAGGGUAGUAUUAUACUAACGAUCUAAAUAACCAUACAUGCACGCUAAGCGCAAGAAGAUUGGAUUCCCUGCCAGAAUGGAGCGGAGAGUAGGCACUCGUGGAGUUGUGCCAACUGGCUGGUUGUGACGCUCUUUCUGGUC